rnacentral:rRNA from 1 species
CCUACGGGGGGCAGCAGUGAGGAAUAUUGGUCAAUGGGCGCGAGCCUGAACCAGCCAAGUCGCGUGAGGGAAGACGGUCCUAUGGAUUGUAAACCUCUUUUGUCGGGGAGCAAAAGACGCCACGCGUGGCGUUCCGAGAGUACCCGAAGAAAAAGCAUCGGCUAACUCCGUGCCAGCAGCCGCGGUAAUACGGAGGAUGCGAGCGUUAUCCGGAUUUAUUGGGUUUAAAGGGUGCGCAGGCGGAAGAUCAAGUCAGAUGUGAAAACUCAGGGCUCAACCCUGAGCCUGCAUUUGAAACUGUGUUUAUUGAGUGCUGGAGAGGCAAUCGGAAUUCCGGGU